CCAUCAUUUAAAGAAAGCGUAAUAGCUCACUGGUCGAGUCGGCCUGCGCGGAAGAUGUAACGGGGCUAAACCAUGCACCGAAGCUGCGGCAGCGACGCUGAUGCGUUGUUGGGUAGGGGAGCGUUCUGUAAGCCUGCGAAGGUGUGCUGUGAGGCAUGCUGGAGGUAUCAGAAGUGCGAAUGCUGACAUAAGUAACGAUAAAGCGGGUGAAAAGCCCGCUCGCCGGAAGACCAAGGGUUCCUGUCCAACGUUAAUCGGGGCAGGGUGAGUCGACCCCUAAGGCGAGGCCGAAAGGCGUAGUCGAUGGGAAACAGGUUAAUAUUCCUGUACUUGGUGUUACUGCGAAGGGGGGACGGAGAAGGCUAUGUUGGCCGGGCGACGGUUGUCCCGGUUUAAGCGUGUAGGCUGGUUUUCCAGGCAAAUCCGGAAAAUCAAGGCUGAGGCGUGAUGACGAGGCACUACGGUGCUGAAGCAACAAAUGCCCUGCUUCCAGGAAAAGCCUCUAAGCAUCAGGUAACAUCAAAUCGUACCCCAAACCGACACAGGUGGUCAGGUAGAGAAUACCAAGGCGCUUGAGAGAACUCGGGUGAAGGAACUAGGCAAAAUGGUGCCGUAACUUCGGGAGAAGG
rnacentral:rRNA from 1 species